rnacentral:rRNA from 1 species
UGGGGAAUUUUGCACAAUGUUCGCAAGAAUGAUGCAGCGACGCCGCGUGAAUGAAGAAGGCCUUCGGGUCGUAAAGUUCUUUAGACAGGGAAGAAUGUGUAUACGAGUAACUGCGUAUACAGUGACGGUACCUGUAGAAUCAGCCCCGGCUAACUCCGUGCCAGCAGCCGCGGUAAUACGGAGGGGGCAAGCGUUGUUCGGAGUGACUGGGCGUAAAGAGCACGUAGGUGGCGAUAUAAGUCAUUAGUCAAAGGCAUCGGCUCAACCGAUGUAAGGCUAGUGAUACUAUAUUGCUAGAGUGCCGGAGAGGAUUGCAGAAUUCCUAGUGUAGCGGUGAAAUGCGUAGAUAUUAGGAGGAAUACCUGUUGCGAAGGCGGCAAUCUGGUCGGUAACUGACACUGAGGUGCGAAAGCGUGGGGAGCAAACA